rnacentral:rRNA from 1 species
GAACCGUCAAACGUUAUUCGGAAUUACUGGGCUUAAAGGGUGCGUAGGCGGUGCGGUAAGUUGGGUGUGAAAAUCCCUCGGGCUCAACCGAGGGAACUGCGCCUAAUACUGCCGUACUGGAGGGAGACAGAGGUAAGCGGAACUGAUGGUGGAGCGGUGAAAUGCGUUGAUAUCAUCAGGAACACCAGUGGCGAAAGCGGCUUACUGGGUCUCUUCUGACGCUGAGGCACGAAAGCCAGGGUAGCGAACGGGAUUAGAUACCCCGGUAGUCCUGGCUGUAAACGAUGAGCACUUGGUCGGAGACUCCUCCAUAGGUUUCCGGCCGUAGCGAAAGUGUUAAGUGCUCCGCCUGGGGAGUAUGGUCGCAAAGGCUG